GGCCGGAUGGUGUAGUUGGUUAUCACAUUCCCUUUACACGGGAAAGGUCCUGGGAUCGUGCCCCAGUCUGGUCA
rnacentral:tRNA from 2 species